CUUUUUUUUUUAAAAAGGUAAUGAGAAAUUUUAGGUAAAGGUAGCCCUGGUCUUUCUGUAGCCAUAGCUUUGUUUUUACUGAAAAAAACUGAAAUUAUAUAUGAUUUUCAGGGGGAAAUUCUUUGAAAGAAAAGACAAAGUUUUUUUGGGAAGUCAAGGGCAGUUAUGUGAGUUAUGUCUUGUGUGUAUCAUUGACUUUUCAAAAGAUUUUGUGGUUUUUAUCAGAGAAGAUUUGGUAUUGUAUGUUUCUCCAUGUGUGUGAUCAUGGACACACCUCCAACACAUCUGUGGAUCAUCAUGUAAUCAUGAUUUUUAUUUAGGCACUAUGCACUAUGUCACUUUACUACUACAUGUCUUGAGAAAGGUCUCUGGGACUGAAACGUUGAGCCACCAAACAAACCCAAUGCAGAGUUGACAAGGUUCAUGUGUAUGUUGACUUGUUCUGUUGUUGCAUAGCCUGAUGCUGUUAUCUGCUACCUGCCUGAUGCUUGUGUGCUAGCCUGCAUGUAAUUUAUGUAAUGUUUGUUGUCACAUGCAAUACUUGUUGUGAUUGUAUGUAA